UACCAGCACUUGCAAGUCUUGCGAUGAAUUUAAACAUUCCCCUCACAGACCUUUUAAUGUUUGUAUGAACACACACACCUAUACCCAAGUGGUGAAAGAGAAGGAAGCUGACAGACAUCAGCAGCUGAAUAUUUUCACAGUGUGCAAUUUGUUAUUCACCACAGGGCUGCCAUUCCCUCCCUUUUGAAGGCUCCCUACUUUCCCCUAGCCAAGUUGCUAAGCAACAGCUUGAGUCAACAAUUGCCAACUGGGCUAGUGAAAUGAAAGAUUGGGGGGAGAAAGGGGGAGAAAAAGGACUCUGAAGGAGAAGGUUCCAACUUGUGAAGAGAAUGAUCCCGAAGCCUCAAGGAGCCAGAAGCAGUUCCAGAUUUGGAUUUUUAAAAAGAAACCAAAAUCAGAAACAGGAAAGCUUAUCCAUCCAAUUUUUCUACAUGCAGAUGCUCUUCUGAGCUCACCUCAAGCUGAAUGGAAAGGAGCUGUGUAAACAUUGUCUCAUCGGAUUACUGUACAACUUUACCAUUUUGUAGUACACCAAACUUCCAACAAAAAAAUAGGUGCUGGUACUGACCAUGAUGUUGUUACAUUAAGUGCCACACUUUUUAACAACCAAAAAAGAGACGCCGGUACUGCAUACAGUGGAAUUUCCAAAAGAGGGCUAAAGUAUACCUCCACCUCCUCUAU